rnacentral:rRNA from 1 species
GUAGUCAUAUGCUUGUCUCAAAGAUUAAGCCAUGCAUGUCUAAGUGUAAGCAAUUUAUACUGUGAAACUGCGAAUGGCUCAUUAAAUCAGUUAUCGUUUAUUUGAUAGUACCUUACUACAUGGAUACCUGUGGUAAUUCUAGAGCUAAUACAUGCUAAAAACCCCGACUUCGGAAGGGGUGUAUUUAUUAGAUAAAAAACCAACGCCCUUCGGGGCUCCUUGGUGAAUCAUAAUAACUAAACGAAUCGCAUGGCCUUGCGCCGGCGAUGGUUCAUUCAAAUUUCUGCCCUAUCAACUUUCGAUGGUAGGAUAGUGGCCUACCAUGGUGGCAACGGGUAACGGGGAAU